CUCGUACUCCCUCAGUUCCAAAUUACUCGUCGCAGAAAUGGAUAUAUCUAGAACUAAAAUACAUCUAGAUACAUCCAUACCUGCGACAAGUAAUUCGGAACGGAUGGAGUACUAC
rnacentral:pre_miRNA from 1 species